GAUGAACGCUGGCGGCGUGCCUAAUACAUGCCAGUCGAGCGAACGGACGAGAAGCUUGCUUCUCUGAUGUUAGCGGCGGACGGGUGAGUAACACGUGGAUAACCUACCUAUAAGACUGGGAUAACUUCGGGAAACCGGAGCUAAUACCGGAUAAUAUUUUGAACCGCAUGGUUCAAAAGUGAAAGACGGUCUUGCUGUCACUUAUAGAUGGAUCCGCGCUGCAUUAGCUAGUUGGUAAGGUAACGGCUUACCAAGGCAACGAUGCAUAUCCGAACUGAGAGGGUGAGCAGCCACACUGGGACUGAGACACGGUCCAGACUCCUACGGGAGGCAGCAGUAGGGAAUCUUCCGCAAUGGGCGAAAGCCUGACGGAGCAACGCCGCGUGAGUGAUGAAGGUCUUCGGAUCGUAAAACUCUGUUAUUAGGGAAGAACAUAUGUGUAAGUAACUGUGCACAUCUUGACGGUACCUAAUCAGAAAGCCACGGCUAACUACGUG
rnacentral:rRNA from 1 species